UAAUAACCAUAUUUUGCAUGCUAAUUGGUAGUACCUUAUUUUGAUAGUGGUCUAACCUUUUGUUAUUUGCUGUAGGUGCCAGGGAUCGUUGAAUUAGCAAAGAGGCUCUACUGUUUCUCAUGGUCAUUUCAUCCGUCGCUUUUGGAGAGGCCAACCAUGAGCUUGUAACUGUCUUCUUGAGUAAUGUGGGAAUUUUGUGCUGGAGUUCCAAAUGUGUGGUAUGUCCUUCAUUCCUAACUUGCACAUUUCACUCUAAUAAGCUGCAUCACUUUAACCAACGUAAAAGGGAACAGCACAGCAACAGCCAUCCACUUUAAUAAUCAUCGUAUUGCCUGGUAAAACCAAAUAUUUUUUAAUUGAAUGCUGAAGAGAGCUAAUAAAAUGAUUUGGCAUUGUUAGUAGGGGCAUGGACUGGAUGGAAGAAGUCAGGAAUGCUGGCAGAACAAAAGCUGCUUGUGGCUCCAUUUGUUCUCCAUUGCCUAGAUUAGAAAAAUGUUAUUUUGUUGCUUGCUAUCCAUUGCCCAGCAGAGGGGCAACCUCUUUGGGUCUUUUCCCAAGCAUAGGCCGUUAAUGUCCUGUCCGGCUGUCACUCAACUAGCCUAGUCUGUACCAUCUUCCUAGUAGUCAAGGUUUCUGUGCCUGCCUGCAGCCACCACAACCUUUAUGGCUGAGGUGGGUCUGAACAUUGGUAUCUUUUUGUAGGUCCAAUAUAUCCGUGGAGUUUGAGCUUCCUUCCUAGAUAGCAGGAAAAUUACCAAUAUAAAACUAGGACGGUUUGGGUAUGGUGCAUCCACCAAAUCACAUGCAUGAUCGCAUCUACAAGAAUUGUCUGUUGUCUUAUUGUGUUAGCAUAGGAUGAUGUUACGAGCCAUUUUGCUUGGUCAAUCCUUUGCCAAGGUACAUGUUAUUGAUUGUUAGUUGAUAUCCAGAUGGUGCCUCUAAUUCUCAUCCCAUCAUGUAUAUAAACUGGAUCUCCGAGUCAUGUAACUGAGAACUCAUGGCAAUAAUGCUUGGUCUGCAUCAUUUCUCAGGUAAAAUGGCCUGAUGAUUGUAGAAGGGAUGCAGUCAUCUAGGAUUCUAGAUGAUAGCAUGAAAACUGAGCAUGCUAUGAGCAUGCACUGAUUUUAUCAUGCGGUGCAAACCAACAGGUCCAACGAGGUUUUCACUACAUGCUUGUUUUCUUUCCUGUGCUACUUUAUAGGUCUACUAUUCCUUGACAAGCAUCAGCUAGCCUUAGGUUAAUUGGUACAGUGUUGAAUUGCUGAGGGGUGGUACCUGAUAUCAGAAAUCCUUGGUUGCUGGCUCGAGGCAGGCAGUCUGGGCAUGCCUUUCAUGCGCUUGCUUUUGCUUGUCAUGGGGGCGGUCUUCUCACUAGUGUUAUGCAGAAACAUAUCUUAAGCUGUAUCGAAAGGAGCAAGCGGGGCCUUUCUUGCUGAUACUAGCAUUUGUUUUAGUGCACGAAUAUAUUUUAAAAGUUUAUUCUAAUGGGAUAUUACUGCAGAUUUUAGAAAAUUCAUGUUAUUUACUGGUUA